UACGAAGGGGGCUAGCGUUGCUCGGAAUCACUGGGCGUAAAGGGUGCGUAGGCGGGUCUUUAAGUCAGGGGUGAAAUCCUGGAGCUCAACUCCAGAACUGCCUUUGAUACUGAGGAUCUUGAGUUCGGGAGAGGUGAGUGGAACUGCGAGUGUAGAGGUGAAAUUCGUAGAUAUUCGCAAGAACACCAGUGGCGAAGGCGGACUCACUGGCCCGAUACUGACGCUGAGGCACGAAAGCGUGG
rnacentral:rRNA from 1 species